GCCGGAGUGGCGGAAUUGGCAUACGCGCACGACUCAAAAUCGUGUUCCGCAAGGAAUGUGGGUUCGAUUCCCACCUUCGGCACCA
rnacentral:tRNA from 1 species